rnacentral:rRNA from 1 species
AAAGAAAGCUGGCGGCAUGCCUAACGCAUGCAAGUCGAACGAGACCUUCGGGUCUAGUGGCGCACGGGUGCGUAACGCGUGGGAACCUGCCCUUAGGUUCGGAAUAACUCCCCGAAAGGGGUGCUAAUACCGGAUAAUGUCUUCGGACCAAAGAUUUAUCGCCUUUGGAUGGGCCCGCGUUGGAUUAGCUAGUUGGUAGGGUAAAAGCCUACCAAGGCGACGAUCCAUAGCUGGUCUGAGAGGAUGAUCAGCCACACUGGGACUGAGACACGGCCCAGACUCCUACGGGAGGCAGCAGUGGGGAAUAUUGGACAAUGGGCGAAAGCCUGAUCCAGCAAUGCCGCGUGAGUGAUGAAGGCCUUAGGGUUGUAAAGCUCUUUUACCCGGGAUGAUAAUGACAGUACCGGGAGAAUAAGCUCCGGCUAACUCCGUG